ACUGAAACCUCCAAAGUUAUAAGUGGCUUUUCCGCCCGCUCCCCCCUCCCCCCGAGCGCCGCUCCGGCUGCACCGCGCUUGCUCUGAGCUC